rnacentral:rRNA from 1 species
AGUGAACGCUGGCGGUAGGCCUAACACAUGCAAGUCGAACGGCAGCACAGUAAGAGCUUGCUCUUACGGGUGGCGAGUGGCGGACGGGAGAGGAAUACAUCGGAAUCUACUUUUUCGUGGGAGAUAACGAAGGGAAACUUACGCUAAUACCGCAUACGACCUACGGGUGAAAGCAGGGGAUCUUCGGACCUUGCGCGAAUGAAUGAGCCGAUGUCGGAUUAGCUAGUUGGCGGGGUAAAGGCCCACCAAGGCGACGAUCCGUAGCUGGUCUGAGAGGAUGAUCAGCCACACUGGAACUGAGACACGGUCCAGACUCCUACGGGAGGCAGCAGUGGGGAAUAUUGGACAAUGGGCGCAAGCCUGAUCCAGCCAUACCGCGUGGGUGAAGAAGGCCUUCGGGUUGUAAAGCCCUUUUGUUGGGAAAGAAAAGCAGCAGGUUAAUACCCCGCUGUUCUGACGGUACCCAAAGAAUAAGCACCGGCUAACUUCGUG